AAGUCCCCCAACGGGCUCCGCACUGUGGAAGUCUGCUUGAGAUCCUCUCUCUCUGCCCCUCCACUCACUUGCACAUGCUCUCUCUCUCUCAAAUAAAUAAAAUAAAUCUUUAAAAAAAUACAUCUGAUUACCAGGUUUAGAAAUGGAAGAUUACUAGAACUGUUGGUAAACACAGGUAUAAUCAUAACACUCACUCUGUUGGGACCCCACGAAGCCUUAUGCUAGAAACCAUUAUCUAGAGUGCCAGAAAGGUGUAAUGAAGAGAAAAAAGUACUAUGAAUUGAGUGAGUCCUGGAUUGGCACCCCUGCUUUGCCCCUGACAACAUAAACCCAACAACUCCAAUCCCUUGUCACGCUAUCCUGCCAUCCAGUUCUCACUCUGAAGUCUUGGCACCAGCAACAAGAAGAGUGAGGAAGGCAUCAGACACAUCAGAGGCCCCUGGUCUCCCCAGAACCCUCAUGAAGACUGCAGACUAACACAUUUCUCUUCCUAACACGGGGUGUCGAGAACCAGGAGCACAGACCAGAUGGCCCACGAAGACUGAAGUAUCUACUUUCUCGUCCUUUACAGAAGAUGUAUGCCAACUCCUGAGGCAGACGGAGCAGCAGACAGACAAUACAAACUGUAAUCCUUGAUCACCUACACAUCGCGAUCUCCAAACGAGCUUGGCAUUGUGCUCGGAGAAGGUGGGCAACUGCCUCACCUCCCAGAAGGUAAUUCAUCUGAAGCUUGGGAGUCUAAGCCAGUGCUCUCAAUAUGAUUUUGGGUGGACAGCAACUGGUUUAGGAGCAGACUUCUAACUCAGAAUUUUGGCCAGAGAGUUUGUUGUGCAAAGAUAAGUUUCUUGUGACUUCAAGGGACAUCUUAUGACCAUGAGGCUAUGAAGAUUUCAAAGACCUAACCUAUCCCAGAACGAGACUUCAUUGAGCCGCUGAAUUAACCAAAGCUGAAAGCGCCUGUUCCAGACUUGGAGCCUUCCCAGCAGCCACGCUUGGUUCAGAGAGCCUGUUAACAAUGGUCCCCUUUCAAGUCCAGGAUUGUGUCUCAGCUCCUGGACUGUUCUAUCUAGACUGACAUUGAAGAGUGGAUCCUCUCCUCCACAAAGGACUGCCUGAUGGCUUUACGUACCAAUUAAAAGUGAAGUCUAGAAGGGGCAAAAAGAAUUUCUGCUAAGCUAGUAGAUGUUGUUGGAUUAACGUUCCAUAUACUUUGAGAAAUCCGUUGCAUGGGACUACGUGCAAGAUCUUUAAGCAACAAGACUUGUAAUCUGAAACUCUACUGAUACCCAAAGCUACAGAUGAGGUGUUCCUGGUUGGCUCUGGAGGAUCUACCUAACCCUCCUCUCAAGUAAUCCAGCUGCGGUGAUGUGUAUAAGAGACUCCAGAAGAGCUGAGAUCUGAAUGAAAACUUCAAGGAAAUCAGGAAUUCUUUUGAUGGGCCGAGAGAGAGACGAGGGGGGUAGCAACAACUCUUGUUGCUGGCUUUGAAAAGUAGGCUGCCCUGUUCUAAGAGUGCCUAUGAGAGGGUCACAUGGCCAAGAACAGUGGGCAGCCUCUAAAAGCUGUGAGUGGCCCCUGACUGACAACCAGCAAG